UACGUAGGGUGCGAGCGUUAAUCGGAAUACUGGGCGUAAAGCGUGCGCAGGCGGUUUUGUAAGCCAGGUGUGAAAUCCCCGGGCUCAGCCUGGGAAUGGCAUUUGGGACUGCAAGGCUGGAGUGCGGCAGAGGAGACUGGAAUUCCUGGUGUAGCAGUGAAAUGCGUAGAUAUCAGGAGGAACACCGAUGGCGAAGGCAGGUCUCUGGGCUGACACUGACGCUCAUGCACGAAAGCGUGGG
rnacentral:rRNA from 1 species